rnacentral:sRNA from 1 species
CCUGCUUGUCCUGCCUCAAGCUCCUCUCCUCCCUGCCUCUCCCACCUGACCCACUUCCUUCAGUUUUCACGAGUUAGCACUCUGCCUGGGCCUCAGAUUACAGAAACGCUGCAGCCCUGUAAAUGGCCUGAGGGAAGGCCAAGCUCACAUUUCAUGGGCUUGGAAAUUUAGAAUUACAAAUUAAUCUACAGGAAACAACUGCUUGAACAAUUUAAAACGGAUGUGCACACCAGUCCACCCAGACCUCUUGUACUGGCCACCAGGCAGUGUACGGGAGCAGUCCCAUCUGAGUUUCUGCUUGCUGGAGUCUUUCUUGUAUCGCUUGCUGCUCACUUCUUUACAAGGGUUAAGCAAGAGGUGAACUCCCCACAUGCCAGUGUUAUGCUGGUCUGCCUGCUGCCAUGUAUAUCCCAUGAUGGAUAUCAACUCCGACCUUCUGGGAUCAUGAGAAGUUGCCUUACUCAUAGUGUUUUGUCCUAGCAAUACAUAGCAUGAUACACAAUACAUGGUGAAGACCUAUGCCAUGAACUAGAAAGCACUGAACUAAGUAUAAUAGGAGAGAGAAAAAUGUUUGUCUCAGAGUGAACUCCUUGAAAAGCCUGCACAAUUACGAAGUAUGAAGCUAUGAUUUUCCUGUAAUUUGAAGGAUCAAGAACCACUAAGGAGACAAACCUCUGGCCACAGUUCUGAGAGGGUUUCCACAGUGAUUUAAUUGAAGUGGGAUGACCCACCCUAAAUUUGGGCAGCACUGUUUAUUUCAUGGUUCGGGACUCCAGUGCCCUCUUUUAUACCUGACUGUGGAUGCAGUGUGCCAAGCUGCUUCAAGCUCCUCUCUCCAUGGCAUCCCUGCAUGUUGGACUGCACCCUUGAACUGUGAAGCGAGAUAUAUCCUCCUUCCUUAGCUGCUGUUACCAGCUUUUUUGUCCCAGCAAAGAAGAAAUUGAACAAUACACUCUGGGAGGAAGUGCUUUGCUUCAGAAGAUAGAGUUCACACAAUAGUAACCCCAUCAGAAUCUGGGCAUCAUGGAGAUGUUCAUACCCUCCAGGUUCCUACAAAACCAUCUAUCAGGUACUGACUCCAUCCUGUCCAAGGAAGGAUAUUCAAAGAGGAUAAAGUAUGUAUGUUUUAUUUCAAAUUUCUUCUUGUGUAGAUAUUCUCAAGAUAAAAAGAAUGGGGUCAGCAUUAUUGACAAAAAUUAAUCUUUUAUUUAAAGCAAAUCUUUGUCACAUUACGGUUUUUGGAUCUUUUAUUCUAUUUUUCUAUAUUUACUCACCUAGUGCUAUGAAAUCAUCCUUUCAAACUUAUCACAUGCUGUCAACCACCACAUGAUUCUCUUAGAAGCUAUUCUUGCCAGACCCAGGAAUUGCUGGGCCAUUGGGUGAUGUAUGAAGGUAAUCAGUAAUCCAGAAUGAACACUUUACUAACUGUAAGUGUACAUCUGUAGCCAUAUCUUAGGUAUUCAAGAAACAUUGGUGUUCUUUGUUUUCUUCAAGCAAAUGUAAGCCAGGGUUAGUAAAUGGCACCCAUAACCCCCUGCCAACUCACAAAGGCCAGGCAGUUGGGUGUCAGUCAGUUACUACUGGGACUUGAACCCAGUCCUGUGACCCAAUGCAGUCUGCUCUGAACUGAAGCAUUAAAUUAGUCUGCAGAGACUUUCUCAACCUCCUUACUCUUGGUUUAACAAUGGUAGGACUGCUCUGUGGUUGUGGACUGUGGAAUAAUAUAUUUGGCCUCUACCCACUGAAUGCCAGUAGCAUAUCCUCACCAACUGUGAUAAUCAAAAUAUCUCAGAUCUGCUAACUAGUUAGCUACAUAAUUUGUGAAGUCCAACAGAAGAGAAACAUCAAGCCCUCUAAAAUAAAUUCCUUAUUCACAGAACAUAAUGUAGCACUCAAUAUGACUGUAACAGAAUAAUUCUCUAACUACAAAUCAAUAAAAACCAAGAAAGCUGGAAUUAAAUCUUCUAACAAAUACAGAUACUUUCUAAAUUGGAUGUCUCGAUUCUAAGAGUUUUCUGGUCUAUAUUUCUGUGAAUUUAUGGAUAAGGUCAUCAAGUUUAUACUGGGAACCAUUGCCUUCAAUUGAUGUAAUUAAAAAAAUAUUUUAGAGAAAGGAAGUCUGUGACUCAAUUUUAACUACAAGAAGUGUUUUACCAUUCAACAGUUGCUAAAGCUAUUCAGGACAUUUCAUGGGCUAUGACAAAUGAUACAUUGCUGGCAAAUUAUUUUAAGUAUAUAUUUUGAUAUAUCUAGAACUGGCCAUUCAUUUGUAAUCAAUUUUCUAAACCUAUUUUUUUAACCCAUCUUACAAAUCAGCUUCAUGUUUGCACUUAAAUGUCAUUUUAAUGUUUCCUUUGAUUGUUCCUGUGAGGUCAGUGGUUAUGUUAGCCCCUGAAAGUGGUUUUGUGAGGUGUGCAUGUGUGUGUGUGUGUGUGUGUGUGUGUGUGUGUGUGUGUUUCUAAAAUUGUGCUUAUGUGUUCUAUUACUGUGGUUCAAGAAUCAAGAAAGGUGAUUUAAAAAAUGCUUCCUUCCUUAAUUCAUUCAGUGCUUCAUAAGAAAUGGCGCACUGUUCUAGUAUUCUGUCAGGUGUGUCUACCCACACAUUUACCUCGAUCUCUAGUUGUAUGACUGUUUUUAAAAAAAAAAAUGUUCGUAUGGAUGCUAUACUACCUUAAAAUUCAUUCUUUUAAUUCAACAUAUAUUGCUGAGCACUCAGUGAGCCAGAAGUCCUCUAAUUUUCAGAAAUAAAAUAAACAAAACGAAGCCCUCACAUAGUUGAGUAAAUUAGGAAGUAAAACGUGCUACAUUUUCAUUGGGAAAGAGGGUUGCAUUAUCUGGAAAACCAAAGCGUUGCUAGGUUGUGUCUGGGCAGGGGUUGCUCUCUGCUGUAGGAAGUACCCUGUGCAGAAGUGAGGCUAGACUGAGUGAUCGAGGGAAGGAGCCUCAUUGGUAGACACUUGAGGGAAGAAUGCUGCCUCAGAAGCCUUGGGAUAGAGUAGCACAGUGUGCUUCAGGAGAAACAAGGCCUUCUUGAGACUGAGUUGCAGGAAGAGGUCAUGGGCAGAGGAGUGGAAAAGGUUAAGCUGCUGGCUAUGGGUUGUGUCUGAAGAGGAGGCUUGCAGGUCUGUGCAGAGCAGCAUGGCCUGAGGUCUGUGCUGAAAAGGAUCCCCUCUCUGCUUGCUGUCUUAAUAAAUCAUCCCAUCACACGAGGCCUUUAAGUGCCAUUUAACUACACGGUGCUGGCACAAGUUGCCCUUUGGGGGCCUUCCUGGGCUUAUUUGGGGGCAAGCAGAGAUAGUGGGAAAGAGAUGCAGCUCAUAGACAGUGGUGGCUCUCAGCUAUUGGCGGAGGUAUUCUAAGAUCCUGAGUGAUCUCCCUGGAUUCCACUGAUCUCACAGGGUAGCCAAGACCAACAGUGGGAGGCGGUUUUUGAACCAUUUCGUCACCUUCAUGAACCAGUAAAUUCAGAGGACUCUCUGUCCAUUUAUAAAAGUAGAAGACUUCCUUUUUCACAGUGGCCUAGCCACCAGGGUCACACCUGGAUGGAGGUGAGUGUUGAUGGGCACUUUCAAGGCUGAAUGACCACUGUCAUAUAAACAAUAACGAGGCCUGUUGACUUUCUAUUGGUUAUGAAGUCUAAGGAGGUUUUGUCCUGCUCAGCUCUCAGCAACAAGAAACACACACACACA